GGUGAGUAAUGCCUAUGAAUCUGCCUGGUAGUGGGGGAUAACGUGCGGAAACGGACGCUAAUACCGCGACGUCCUACGGGAGAAAGCAAGGGACCUUCGGGCCUUGCGCUAUCACAUGAGCCUAGGUCGGAUUAGCUAGUUGGUGGGGUAAUGGCUCACCAAGGCGACGAUCCGUAACUGGUCUGAAAGGAUGAUCAGUCACACUGGAACUGAUACACGGUCCAGACUCCUACGGGAGGCCCCAGUGGGGAAUAUUGGACAAUGGGCGAAAGCCUGAUCCACCAUGCCGCGUGUGUGAAGAAGGUCUUCGGAUUGUAAAGCACUUUAAGUUGGGAGGAAGGGGAGUAAAUUAAUACUUUGCUGUUUUGACGUGACCGACUGAAUAAGCACCGGC
rnacentral:rRNA from 1 species